CCACUUCCAAGUUUGCUCAGAAUACAAAUAAGUAUCUGCUCCGAGGUGUCUUGCAAAAACCCUUUCUGCAGUUUUCCAGUUACAACUAUGCAAUGUGGAAGUUUUGUGUUUUACAAGAAUUCACCACUACAUUACCUACACUUCUACCGAGGAACCCAGGAAGCCACCAGUUAAAGUGAUUAAAGGACAAGUGAUUUUCGCGAGUGCAGGUUAUAAAAUUGUGAAAUUUCCCUUGAGGUUAAAGGUUUCAUUGAUACGGAACCUGUCCCAAAAACUUAGUCUUUUUUUAUUCAAGUUGUUUAUUUUUCACAGCAGGGAUAUGUGAUUAUUAUUUAACCAUUUUCGCCUUCCAUGUAGUAACUUCAACUGCACUAAUUCUAAGAAAACUAUGGCAAAUAAAGUUAUUCCAAACUACA